GCUCCCCGCCGUGCUCAGCAUGCUCUUUUCUGGUGUAGCCAGACCCUCCCAGGAAUCACUCUGGAGCUCAAGGCCGUCCUGUAGGGUAAGGUGAUCCAGCCGAGGCGCUGCCUGUGCCGGGGCUGCUCUCCCAGCUAACGCGCGUCUCCCAUCCCCUGGUAGGAAAUGGAGUCCAAGGUCUCCGAAGGCGGCCUCAACGUCACCCUCACCAUCCGGCUGCUGAUGCACGGCAAGGAAGUUGGAAGCAUCAUUGGGAAGAAAGGAGAGACCGUGAAGAAGAUGCGUGAGGAGAGUGGGGCCAGAAUCAACAUUUCGGAGGGAAACUGCCCUGAGCGGAUUGUGACCAUCACUGGCCCCACCGAUGCCAUCUUCAAGGCUUUUGCCAUGAUCGCCUACAAAUUUGAGGAGGACAUAACCAACUCCAUGAGCAACAGCACAGCUACCAGCAAACCUCCGGUGACACUGCGGCUGGUGGUGCCGGCGAGUCAGUGCGGCUCCCUCAUCGGCAAGGGCGGCUCCAAGAUCAAGGAAAUCCGAGAGUCCACAGGUGCUCAGGUCCAAGUGGCGGGGGACAUGCUGCCCAACUCCACGGAGCGGGCGGUGACGAUCUCGGGGACACCCGACGCAAUUAUCCAGUGUGUCAAACAGAUCUGUGUGGUGAUGCUGGAGUCCCCACCAAAAGGUGCCACCAUUCCCUACCGCCCAAAGCCCGCCUCCACCCCUGUCAUUUUUGCAGGUGGUCAGGCCUAUACAAUUCAGGGACAAUACGCUAUUCCACACCCGGAUCAGUUGACCAAGCUCCACCAGUUGGCUAUGCAGCAAACCCCCUUUACUCCCCUUGGACAGACCACCCCCGCUUUCCCUGGAGAAAAGCUGCCCUUACAUUCCUCCGAAGAAGCUCAAAAUCUGAUGGGCCAGUCAUCAGGUUUGGAUGCCAGUCCCCCGGCCAGUACUCAUGAACUCACCAUUCCCAAUGAUCUAAUAGGCUGCAUAAUUGGACGCCAAGGGACCAAAAUCAAUGAAAUUCGGCAGAUGUCGGGAGCGCAGAUCAAAAUCGCCAACGCCACGGAAGGGUCAUCGGAGCGCCAAAUCACCAUCACAGGAACCCCUGCAAACAUCAGCCUUGCGCAGUACCUCAUCAACGCCAGGCUGACGUCUGAGGUCACUGGAAUGGGCGCAAUCUAAUUUCCACCCACCAUCCUCCACUCCGCACCACCUGACCCUCUCCAGCCACCGGCACUCCACCCAGCCUGUACUGCCUGUACAUUUACUGUCUUCCCUUUGCCUCCACAGAUACUCUUUUCUUUACUAACAAAUACAUAGAUACAUGUAUAAAUACACAUGCACAUAUGCACACACUGGAACGUUUCUUUACAAGCUCUUUACUCUGUGCUCCCGAGGCUGCUCCCAAGCUCUUUGAUUAUGGUCCUUGUUUUCAGCGUUACGAUGUUAAUUCUUCAUCUGCUUUUUGGGGACGAGGGAGGGGGGAGGGGGAUGUUGGUUUUUUCUCUUACUGGCGAGACUUCAGGAGCUGUUGGGGUCUCUAGUGUCGGUCUAGCAUAACCACCUACACGUUUGAGCUGACGUUGGCGGUACUUUCUGUAGCCUAUGGACAUACGUGUUGCCACCCAGAGCUGUGCCUGCUUCAGAUGACUCAACUUUUAACUUUUCUCACCCUCCUUCCUUUGGUGCUUCCCCCUUGCUUGUCCUGGCUCGCCUUCACCACCUCACGCCCCUGCCCUCAGGGGAAGGGUAUGCUUUUCACCCUGUGUUAUUUGGGAAGCAGAAGCCAAGCACGGGUUCAACCCACAGGCUUCUCUCUUGGAACAUGGCAUGGUCCAGACAAGCCCUUUUUCCCACUAAACUAAGGGAAUCACACACACACAGCACACACACACACAAAUGCUCAUGUUUUUUUAACUAAUGAGCACCUGGAAGUGGGAAGAACUCAGCUAUGUGGGAUUCACAGCCCCAGGGGCCUUUGAAAGCACUCUUUUGGCAAUCCCCCACAAGCAAAACCUUUGGAUGAUAGCUCAGGAAGCUCUGAGAGCCGGCUGUGUUUGUCAUUGUUUGUGUUCAAUAAAUGUCUGUGCAGCUCUGGUACCGAUGGGCUCCGACUGUUUUUCUCCUGAGUCGCCCUGACAAUGCCAGCCCCAUCCUUCCCUCUGCAUCCUUCCACACCUUUUUAGCUGCCUGGAGGGAAGGUGGGGGUUGUAUGCAAGUGUUCUCAAUUUUUUUUAUUAUUAUCAUUGUUAUUACUAUUAUUACUUAUCAUCACCAUCAUAAUUUUUGUUUCAUUUUUUAGAGAAGGUCCCCAUGACCAAUGCACUUCCUGAGUGAUUCCAUGCUUUCUGUUUGUUUGUUUGUUGGGUUUUGUUUUUCCCAAAAGAAGAGUUAUUGGCUUGCAUAAUCCUUUGGUUUUCCUAUUAAUUUAUAAGUUAUGGUGUGACUACCAUCAUCUCUCACUGCCCCCUUGUCUGGACAGAUCUGCCAUGUCUGUGCCCCACACCCUUCCCCAAGACCCUCUCUGCCCAGCCCUGCCUUCUGCUUCCAGGCUUUUCUUGUCUCUCCUACCUCUCCAACAGGGAAACAUAUGUACGUUUUCCAUCUGUUAAUUCCUGACUGUCCCUUUUCCUGGAUUGCAAAUGAGGGGAUCAUGAUACACCAUGUCCCCAAACAGCUGAAGCAGCCACACAGUACAUUUUUGCACUGUAUCACAUGGGAAAUACAUUGUUUUUCCAGGUGAGCCCCAAGAUUUCCUGGCCUUUCCCUCUCUUCGACCCUCAGUACCAGCAGGCACCACUGGCAGCUUCCCACCCUUCUCCUGCCACUCCUCCUCCUGUCUCCAGCACUGCCUGCUCAGCACUUACACAGGCUGUGUUAGGGAUCCCAGGCAAUGCCAUUGCAUCAGUGGAGCCAAGGAUGGGCAGGGGGCUUUGGGCUCUAGCAGGGAACUGGUAGGGAUGAAAGCAGAGCCCAGGAGCCCAGAAAGGUGAAGGUGCUGCUGAGCAUCAGGUUUGUUUCUGCCCAGGUGUCUCAAAACCUGUGCAUGCUCAGCUCUCCAGAGCAUUCCAGGCUUCUGUGGUUAAAGGUGCUUCCAGAUCCUUCAUAAGGUGUUUUACUGCCUCUCUUCAGUGCCUUGCCCUGCUCUCCUUGGCACUUUGGGUUCAGCUGUGCCUUUUGGGUGGCCCAGCAGCCACACAGGCUUGAGAGCCCCCCAUCCAGGGGAGCACAGGUGCUGUGGGGAGUGCUGAGGGGCUCAGGUGGAGCCAGCAGCCUUUACUGGCACCUCCCCCAUAUAUUAGUGCUGAUGCUGAGGAUGGAGGGAGGCAGGUGCCAAACUGGACCUCCUCCAAGUCGCUGACAGGCCAACAGGGGCACUCCUCAUCUUCUGUUCCUCACUCUGCUUUAGACCAAGUGUUUUUCCUGUCAGAAGAAUGAAAUAUCUGUGUGUGAGACCCAGUGAAAAUAACCACCCCGGUGACCUGGGGGCUGACCCACGGCUAAAGCUCCACAUCCAGCUGCCACCACCCUCCAUGGUAGCCUGGGGUGCUGUCCCCUUGGGGAGGGAUGGUGCACGGAGGGACCCAGCCCAUCCUGCUGUUCCCAGCUCCUCCGGGGGGAUGCAGGACAAGCUGGAGCACAAGGAGAGCUUCUUCACGAGGUGAUGGAGGCACAGCGGCAGCAGGAUCACGCUGACCAAGACUGAGGAACCCAUCCCAGGCCAACAAGGCUGUGGAAUUCAGACACCUGGGGAAGGCUGGGCAGCAUGACAGUGUCCUGGAUGUGGAAAUGGCUUUGCACAGUGCCUGCAGAUCACGGCUGCCCUGAAUUCCUCUGCUCUCUGCGUGUGCUCCCUGUGUCGUUCCCCAUCUCCACUGAGACAGCGCUGCCCAAAAUAGCAAAUGCCAGAUUGGGUCUGCCAGAUGCAGCUGAGCUCAGAGGCUGCUGGAGAGGAGGAGCAGACUGCAGCAUACCUCUGCACCCAUCAUCACGCCAGCAAGCCCAUGGAUGACUCCCCUCCGGGUACCAUCCCCAUCCCAGCCUGCUGAAAGGCAUCCAUCACCCAGCCAGGCUGUGGAAAAGUCACCCCAGGAAUUGUGGUGAGGGAGAAGAGGCUGGAUAUGAGUGUUGCUCUGGCAUCAGGCAGCUGUCCGAGAUGUCUUGUGCUGCCACAAGGAUCUGUGCUCAUAGGAAUCCUCCAGGGAAUACUGGAUGUGGCCACAGGGGGACAAGGGACGGUCCAAGCAGGAGCAGUCACCUGGGUCACCUCACAGGAGCACUGCACAUUCACAGAAUCACAGAGUAUCCUCAGCUGGAAGGGAUCCACAAGGAUCAUCAAAUCCAGCUCCUGAUCCUGCACAGGAUCCACGAAGCAUCCCUCCUUUUGGCAUUCCCUUUGACCUCACAACUUUUCUUUGGGGGUCACUCUGCCAAGGUUAUUUUGAAAAUUUAAAAAGGAAAAAAAAAAAAGAAACUGCAGUGUUAUGUAGGAGUCAGCUUAUCCAUCAUCAUCUGGGCUUGAGCUCAGUUUGGAGAAAGGUGUUGAAACCUAUGCAGCAUCUUCUGGGAGCAUGUUGAUGACAACAAGGAUACCAACAAAAUCACAAGGAAUGUAUCAAACUCAGCUUUCAUUUCUUUGGGAUGACUCAAAAGGAGAUUUGCUAUUUUCUUUGGAAGGAGCCUCAGUGUUUUGCUUUGAUUUGUGAUAAGUCUUGGGUUUCCAUUUUGGAUGAACUUAAAAUACUGUGAGGAUGCAGUCAUGCCACUGGGAAAAAAUCUCUAAUAUUGGAGUGAAUAUUCAUUGCAAGGUGAACGUCCCAGUUAAUCAACAGAAUAGCUUUAAUACAUUGAUUUCUCUCCCAAAACAAUGCAUUGCUAACCAGCCAGAAUGAUUCAACAUUUCUGGAAGCAACCAACUCAGUCAAACUCUUUCAGAACGAGUUAUUUAAGGGGAUAUUUUGACUUUGACAGGGAAGUAUUGGUCCAGUGCCUCCCCCUGCCCCAGGAGUGUGGGGGUCUCCAUCAGAGAGUGGCCAGUUGAGGUCUGUGCUCAGCCUCUUGGCCUCUGCCCAAAGUCCUCACUCCCCCUGCAUAUCCUUGCUUUGUGUGUUUUUCCCCCCGCUAGACUGUAUUUGCAAAUCGAGUACAAAAUAAGGCUGGAAAAAAUAGACUGUUUCCCUAAGGGAAAGUGACUUUCAUCGGGGACACUCUUUAAAUUUCAUACUCUCUUUGAGCUGUUUUUCUGGCGUUUGUUAUUGUAUCCAUGCUAGUCACUUUUAAUUAUGCUAAUUCCCAGUUUAUGCUCCAUUAGCAAGGGUAAUUUCCUGCCUCCGGAGCGGGCAGAGGUAGAGUUUCUGGGAGAUCUGUGCGUGGUGUGGCAGGGAUGAAUGCCCAAUCCCAUUUUCUCCUUGGCCACAGGGAUGGAAGGCAUCUCCCCAGCGCUGCCUGGCUGCAGCCCCCGCCCCGGGGCGGGUACCCGGUCCCGUCCCUGGGCGCCUCGGGCUGGUCACUAGAUGUCCCUAUUGCCCAGCUUUUCAUGGAUGCAUCCCCAGCCACGCCGGGAUGUGGGCGGCACUGGCAUGUCCGGUGCCUCCAGCCGCUGCUCCCAUGCGUGCAGAGGACAUCCCGCGCUGCUGGAAAGGGAGCGGGCUGUUGUGUGUGUGUCCCUGACACUGGUGACGGGCAGUGACAGCCAGCGAGCGGGUGACUGGCACCGUGUCCCUCCACAGGAAUGGUCCCAUCAGUGCUGGGACCUUCAUGGAGCCAGCCCACACGGGCAAGAAUCUGUAGCGAGCAUCUCCUUGGCCGUGGGUGGCACAAGCCACCCCCUUGUGCUGGCCCGAGCCCACUCGGGCUGGCAGAAGGACAAGGUUUCGCUGCAGAGUUCCCAGGAGUGUCCAUCCCAGGUGGUCCCCAGGGAGGCAUUCUCGAGCUGGCUGCUCUGUGCCUUGGCUGGCAGCAGGAGCCUCUGCAGCUGCUGUAAUGCUUGCAGAAAGGUCACAGACUCCGUGCUGGAUGUUACAGGGAGCUGGGACUCUGCUGAAAGGGGUAUUUUUGCUUUCCCUUCAGAAGGAAUGCAGCUGCAGAUCCUGAUCUGCUGUGCUAUGCAGCGAGCCCCAGGCCCCCAUCCAAAGGGUAACGUGGCAGUGACUUUUAGGAAGUACUGAAUGUACCAGAUGUGCAACUCCUUCCACUCCAGAUGUGCGGCCCCCCUCCCACUCUGCCCCAGCGCCCUUGUCCUGCAAAGAGGAAGAUCAGACUCCAGAUUGCUCCAAAAGCAUCCCACAGACCAAAUACAGCCAAGUGCAAAGCCAGGCUGGCUCUGGAUUCCCACACUCAUGUUUAGGCAGUUUAACCGCAGCGAUGUCUCUUCCCAGAAAUGAUGAUCAAGUCCACUCUGCACUUGGGGAACAAAACCAGCCAGGAGAUGGAGCUCCGCAGACCCUGACCCCCACGGGAGGAACACCUUCACGGCCUGACCAGAGCGCCGCAGCCGACCUGCUCGCAGUGGCUGAUGCUUGAGCCCCAUCGAAGAUGCUGCCAGCUUUCCAUGAGCUUCUCCCGCUCCUUCGUGGCGCCCCUGGGGCCCCUGCCUGAACCCCCCGCCCAGGCUGGCCAGACCCCGCUCCCUGGGCCUGGGCACGGGCCAGCAGCAGGCUCGGGGGUGGGGCAGCAGCUCUCAGGAGGACAGCAGCUUGCAGCCAGCUGUGGCGGUACCCACUGUGAGCCAGUGCUUCCCACCGCCCGUCUCUGUGCUUCCUCAUUGCCCCUCACCCCCCUGCUGCUUGGUGAUGCAUUUUGUGGCUUAUCUGUGUCAUUGCAAUAAAGCUUUUGUUGCUUGA